AAAAAGGGCUUCUGACAUGAAGUGGCACACGUAAGGCACCUCUCCUGCUCUAUGUGCAGAAGCAACAUCAAGAGAUUUUGGGAGCGUAAGUUUUGUUUCCAGGGCAGCUGGUUUCGUUGGUCUCCCCCCAG
ensembl:snRNA U11 spliceosomal RNA